UGAAUACGAGAUGCUACGGCGUCGAAGCAGUGUAUGUCAGACUUCCAAGAAAAGCUCGCAAUGUCAUAAAUAAAGAAUGCCUGUACCAUAACCGACACAGGUGGGUAGGUAGAGUAUACUAAGGGGCGCGAGAUAACUCUCUCUAAGGAACUCGGCAAAAUAACUCCGUAACUUCGGGAGAAGGAGUGCCUUCUUUAAGAAGGUUGCAAUAACAAGAUCCAAGCAACUGUUUAUCAAAAACACAGGUCUCCGCUAAGUCGUAAGACGAUGUAUGGGGGCUGACGCCUGCCCAGUGCCAGAAGGUUAAAGAAGCUGGUUAGCAAUAGCGAAGCUGGUGACUGAAGCCCUGGUGAACGGCGGCCGUAACAAUAACGGUCCUAAGGUAGCGAAAUUCCUUGUCGGGUAAGUUCCGACCCGCACGAAAGGCGUAAUGAUUUGGAUACUGUCUCGGAGAGGGACUCGGUGAAAUAGACUUGUCUGUGAAGAUGCGGACUACCUGCACCAGGACAGAAAGACCCUAUGAAGCUUUACUGUAACCUGAAAUUGAAAUUGGACUUUAUUUGCGCAGUAUAGGUGGGAGGCGUUGAAAGUAAUCUUGCGGGAUUAGUGGAGCCAUCAGUGAGAUACCACUCCUAUAAUGUUAGAUUUCUAACUUUGGAUCAUGAUCUGGUCAAAGAACAGUUUCAGGCGGGCAGUUUGACUGGGGCGGUCGCCUCCCAAAUGGUAACGGAGGCGUACAAAGGUUUCCUCUGAACGGGUAGAAAUCGUAUCUAGAGUGUAAAGGCAUAAGGAAGCUUGACUGUGAGACCUACAAGUCGAGCAGGGACGAAAGUCGGUCUUAGUGAUCUGACGGUGCUGAGUGGAAAGGCCGUCACUCAACGGAUAAAAGUUACUCUAGGGAUAACAGGCUGAUCUCCCCCAAGAGUUCACAUCGACGGGGAGGUUUGGCACCUUGAUGUCGGCUCAUCGCAUCCUGGGGCGGUAGUACGUCCCAAGGGUUGGGCUGUUCGCCCAUGAAAGCGGUACGCGAGCUGGGUUCAGAACGUCGUGAGACAGUUCGGUCCAUAUCCGGUGUAGGCGUUAGAAUAUUGAGAGGAGCCUUCUCUAGUACGAGAGGACCGAGAAGGACAUACCUCUGGUGUACCAGUUAUCGUGCCAACGGUAAACGCUGGGUAGCUAUGUAUGGAGAGGAUAACCGCUGAAAGCAUCUAAGUGGGAAGCCCACCUCAAGAUGAGUAUUCUCAUU
rnacentral:rRNA from 1 species